rnacentral:lncRNA from 10 species
UGGGGAUCAAGAAAAGACGAUCCUGAGAUUACCAAGUGUGGGGAAAGCCAGAGCUCCCACCUUCCCAUGAGGCAUCUCCAAACAAAGCAGUCCAGAUUUCAUCUGUUUUCUCUUUAUGGACUUCAAGUAGGCUUUAUUUCUUUUAAACAAAAGAUUUUAUCUGCUACAAACAAAGGCACAAGCAGAAACUUUAAACCUCAUGGUUAUAUUCCCAUGCCAACGAAUAUGAACAUUUCUAAAGAUUAGAAGAGGACAUUGGAUUUAGUGAUUAGAAGGCUGUUAAUAUCUUAGAGGUGGCCGGCCGCGGUGGCUCACAUCUAUAAUCCCAGCACUUUGGGAGGCCGAGGCAGGCAGAUCACAAAGUCAAGAGAUCGAGACCAUCCUGGCCAACGUGGUGAAACCCCAUCUCUACUAAAAAUACAAAAAUUAGCUGGGCAUGGUGGUGCACACCUGUAGUCUCAGCUACUCAGGAGGCUGAGGCAGGAGAAUCGCUUAAACCCGGGAGGUGGAGGUUGCAGUGGACUGAGAUUGCGCCACUACACUCCAGCCUAGCAACACAGCAAGACUCUGUCUCAAAAAAAAA